AGGACGAACGCUGGCGGCGUGCUUAACACAUGCAAGUCGAGCGGAAAGGCCCUUCGGGGUACUCGAGCGGCGAACGGGUGAGUAACACGUGAGCAACCUGCCCUCAGCUCUGGGAUAGCUCCCGGAAACGGGAAUUAAUACCGGAUACGACCCCAACUGACAUCGGUCAGGGGUGGAAAGGAUUCCGGCUGAGGAUGGACUCGCGGCCUAUCAGCUAGUUGGUGAGUAACGGCCCACAAGGCGACGACGGGUA
rnacentral:rRNA from 1 species